rnacentral:rRNA from 1 species
UACACGCUGUGACUAGCAUAUCAAUAAGCGGAGGAAAAGGAACUAACAAGGAUUCCCCUAGUAACGGCGAGUGAAGCGGGAAGAGCUCAAAUUUGAAAUCCUAAAGGGUUUCCCUUUACGAAUUGUAGUUUAAAGAAGUGUUUUCUGUUGAGGUUUUGGUAAAAGUUCUUUGGAAUAGGACAUCAUAGAGGGUGAGAAUCCCGUAUUUGACCUUUACUUUCAACUUUGUGAUACACUUUCAAAGAGUCGGAUUGUUUGGGAAUGCAGUCCAAAAUGGGUGGUAAAUUUCAUCUAAAGCUAAAUAUUGGCGAGAGACCGAUAGCGAACAAGUACCGUGAGGGAAAGAUGAAAAGAACUUUGAAAAGAGAGUUAAACAGUACGUGAAAUUGUCAAAAGGGAAGCGUUUGACACCAGUGUUGUUUUUCUGAAAAUCAAUUAAAGAACUGUUUAUGCUAAGUUGUUUAGACUUUAUCAGCUAACUGUUUAGUUUUGAGCUUUUCUUUAAUGCACUUUUCAGUUAACAAGUCAACAUCAAUUUCUUUUGCUGUAAAAAAGCUUGAGGAAGGUGGCUUGAGAUUCGUCUUAAGUGUUUAUAGCCUCUUGCCUAUGCAGUCGGAGAGAUUGAGGUCUGCAGCGUAGAUCCUUCGGGGCUAAAUGCAUUUGUGCUAAGUUAUAGCAUUUUAUAGACAACUUGUUGACUAUGAUUUGUCUUGUAGCUUACUCGCUUAUGUUAUUUUACCUACGCUUAGGAUGUUGACGCGCGUGUGUGCGUG